GACGAACGCUGGCGGCGUGCUUAACACAUGCAAGUCGAACGGAAAGGCCCUGCUUUUGUGGGUUGCUUGAGUGGCGAACGGGUGAGUAACACGUGAGUAACCUGCCCUUGUCUUUGGGAUAACUUCAGGAAACUGGGGCUAAUAUCGGAUAUGAUCUCCUGCUUCAUGGUGUGGGUUGGAAAGUUUCGGCGGUUGUGGAUGGUCUCGCAGCUUAUCAGCUUGUUUGUGGGGUAGUGCCUUACCAAGGCUUUGACGGGUACCCGGCCUGGGAGGGUUACCGGCCACAUUGGGCCUGAGAUAGGGACCAGAAUCCUACGGGAGGCAGCAGUGGGGAAUAUUGCACAAUGGGCGGAAGCCUGAUGCAGCAACGCCGCGUGCGGGAUGACGGCCUUCGGGUUGUAAACCGAUUUCGCCUGUGACGAAGCGUGCGUGACGGUAAUGGGUAAAGAAGCAACGGCUAACUACGUG
rnacentral:rRNA from 1 species